AAAGAAUUAGUUAAUUAUAACAUUAGUAUGUCAAACUAAAAUUAUUAGAAUAUUCUAUUAUUCUUUA
rnacentral:tRNA from 1 species